rnacentral:rRNA from 1 species
AUUGAACGCUGGCGGCAUGCCUUACACAUGCAAGUCGAACGGCGGCACGGGUGCUUGCACCAGGUGGCGAGUGGCGAACGGGUGAGUAAUACAUCGGAACGUACCUUAUCGUGGGGGAUAACGCAGCGAAAGCUGUGCUAAUAACGCAUAAGCCCUGAAGGGGAAAGCGGGGGAUCGAAAGACCUCGCGCGAUUAGAGCGGCCGAUGCCUGAUUAGCUUGUUGGUGGGGUAAAAGCCCACCAAGGCGACGAUCAGUAGCUGGUCUGAGAGGACGAUCAGCCACACUGGGACUGAGACACGGCCCAGACUCCUACGGGAGGCAGCAGUGGGGAAUUUUGGACAAUGGGGGCAACCCUGAUCCAGCAAUGCCGCGUGAGUGAAGAAGGCCUUCGGGUUGUAAAGCUCUUUUGUCAGGGAAGAAACACCGGCUCUAACACAGUCCGGGAAUGACGGUACCUGAAGAAUAAGCACCGGCUAACUACGUGCCAGCCGCCGCAGUAA